rnacentral:rRNA from 1 species
GACGGAGGGUGCUAGCGUUGUUCGGAAUCACUGGGCGUAAAGGGCGCGUAGGCGGCUUCAGGUGCCGGAUGUGAAAGCCCCGGGGCUCAACCCCGGAGGUGCAUCCGAGACUCUGGAGCUGGAGGCCGGAAGGGGAGGGUGGAAUACCCAGUGUAGAGGUGAAAUUCGUAGAUAUUGGGUGGAACACCGGUGGCGAAAGCGGCUCUCUGGUCCGGACCUGACGCUGAGGCGCGAAAGCGUGGGGAGCAAACAGG